GACGAACGCUGGCGGCGUGCCUAACACAUGCAAGUCGUGCGGUCUCGCCUUAAGCGAAAGGCCUUCGGGCUUUGAAGCAAAGGCGAGAUAGCGGCGGACGGGUGAGUAACGCGUGGCUUAUCUGUCCCAGGAAGGGGGAUAACGUCUGGAAACGGGCGCUAAUACCCCAUAUGCCGAAAGGUAAAAAGGAGAGAUCCGCCCUGGGGUGAGGCCGCGUCCUAUCAGCUCGUUGGUGAGGUAACGGCCCACCAAGGCUAUGACGGGUAGCCGGCCUGAGAGGGCGGCUGGCCACACUGGGAUUGAGAUACGGCCCAGACUCCUACGGGAGGCAGCAGUGGGGAAUAUUGGGCAAUGGGGGAAACCCUGACCCAGCGACGCCGCGUGGAGGAAGGAGCCCUUCGGGGUGUAAACUCCUGUUGUAAGGGAAGAAGACAGUGACGGUACCUUACGAGGAAGCCCCGGCAAACUACGUG
rnacentral:rRNA from 1 species